AAGUCGUAACAAGGUUUCCGUAGGUGAACCUGCGGAAGGAUCAUUAUUGUAUAACCGAGGUGCGAGGGCUGUCGCUGACCCGAAAGGUCGUGCACGCCCGAGUGCCCUCACACACAUCCAUCUCACCCCUAUGUGCACCACCGCGUGGGUCCCCCUUUGGCUUGUUCGGAGGGGGGCUUACGUUUUCACACAAACUUUGUAUGCAGUGUAGAAUGUAUUUUUUGUUUUUGCGAUCACGCAAUCAAUACAACUUUCAACAACGGAUCUCUUGGCUCUCGCAUCGAUGAAGAACGCAGCGAAAUGCGAUACGUAAUGUGAAUUGCAGAAUCCAGUGAAUCAUCGAAUCUUUGAACGCACCUUGCGCCCCUUGGCAUUCCGAGGGGCACACCCGUUUGAGUGUCGUGAAAUUCUCAAAAACCUUUUUCUUUUUGGGAAAGGGUUUUUGGACUUGGAGGCUUUUUGCUGGCUUCACCUUGAAGUGAGCUCCUCCUAAAUGAAUCAGUGGGGUCCGCUUUGCCGAUCCUUGACGUGAUAAGAUGUUUCUGCGUCUUUGGGUUUGGCACUGUCACCUGCUUCUAACUGUCUCAUUGACAAUGAUGGUGCUCCGGUCACCACCGCUCUUAUCGGUGGGAGGCUUGACCCACAAAAACAAAACCUUGACCUCAAAUCGGGUGAGACUACCCGCUGAACUUAAGCAUAUCAAUAAGCGGAGGAAAAGAAACUAACAAGGAUUCCCCUAGUAACUGCGAGUGAAGCGGGAAAAGCUCAAAUUUAAAAUCUGGUGGCCUUUGGCCAUCCGAGUUGUAAUUUAGAGAA
rnacentral:misc_RNA from 1 species